rnacentral:rRNA from 1 species
AUUGAACGCUGGCGGCAGGCCUAACACAUGCAAGUCGAACGAGUGGCGGACGGGUGAGUAAUGUCUGGGAAACUGCCUGAUGGAGGGGGAUAACUACUGGAAACGGUAGCUAAUACCGCAUACCCUCAGAUGUGCCCAGAUGGGAUUAGCUAGUAGGUGGGGUAACGGCUCACCUAGGCGCCGAUCCCUAGCUGGGCUGAGAGGAUGACCAGCCACACUGGAACGUGGACCAGGACCAGACUCCUACGGGAGGCAGCAGUGGGGAAUUUUGCACAAUGGGCGCAAGCCUGAGACAGCCAUGCCGCGUGUAUGAAGAAGGCCUUCGGGUUUGAAAGUACUUUCAGCGGGGAGGCGUUACCCGCAGAAGAAGCACCGGCUAACUCCGUGCCAGCCGCCGCGGUAAUUC